rnacentral:rRNA from 1 species
UUGGAGGGCAAGUCUGGUGCCAGCAGCCGCGGUAAUUCCAGCUCCAAUAGCGUAUAUUAAAGUUGUUGCAGUUAAAAAGCUCGUAGUUGAAUUUCGGGAUCAAUCUGUUGGUCGUGCCUUUGGUACGUACUAGCUUAUUGAUUUCUCCCUUUUGACGAACCAUGAUGUCAUUAAUUUGGUGUCAUGGGAAAUCAGGACUGUUACUUUGAAAAAAUUAGAGUGUUUAAAGCAGGCUCACGCUUGAAUACAUUAGCAUGGAAUAAUGAAAUAGGACGUUUUGAUUCUAUUUUGUUGGUUUCUAGGAUCGACGUAAUGAUUAAUAGGGAUAGUUGGGGGCAUUAGUAUUCAAUUGUCAGAGGUGAAAUUCUUGGAUUUAUUGGAGACUAACUACUGCGAAAGCAUUUGCCAAGGAUGUUUUCAUUAAUCAAGAACGAAAGUUAGGGGAUCGAAGACGAUCAGAUACCGUCGUAGUCUUAACCAAAAACUAUGCCGACUAGGGAUCGGAUGAUGUUAAUUUUUUAAUGACUCAUUCGGCGCCUUACGGGAAACCAAAGUGUUUGGGUU